CUUGGUCGCGGUCACGCUUCAAGAGAUAAGUAUCAAUUUUAUGUUAGAUUAAUAUCUUGAUUAUGUGUUGUCUAUAUUACCUGCAAGUUCGAUCCUGGUUAUUUGCUUCCGCUGUGUAUGCCUGUAUUGUAUCAAGAAGUUCCAAGAGUUCAUAAGUUAGAGUUGCGUGACUUACCAAAAUUAGGAACCUUGGGGGAGCCAUAGAGUAUGUGGGAACACCCGGAGGAAUUUACCUUGCUAGAUUGCAAUAAAAUAAGGAAGUUGCCUCUUUUUAUUCAAUCCUCCAACAACAUUAAGUCAAUAGAAGGAUCAUCAGAAUGGUGGAGCCAAUUGGAGUGGGAUGACGACAACUUCAAGUCAAAUUUAGAGCAUUGCUUCCGACCAUUAUAAAACUGCCAAUGAAGGACCAAAAAAAGUAGAGAAAGGAACUUACUGCACUAGAGGCAUGACGUUUCGAGCUACAAAUCGGUGGAGUGUGCGUUUUUGAAUUUCCUGUCACGUAUCUUGAGAUUUGUAUGCCAAUUAUUGUUCCUUCUUUGUACUAUUUUUGCUUUCUGGUUCUGAUAUCUUGAUUGCUUGAUUGUACACUAAGUAAUUUCUUGUCAUGUUGUGUGAUCAUCUUGUUAAUUUGUAAUAAACUGGUAUUGCUUCUGGCUUUUAAACA